AUUGAACGCUGGCGGCGUGCUUAACACAUGCAAGUCGAGCGGUAAGGCCCCUUCAGGGUACGACGAGCGGCGAACGGGUGAGUAACACGUGGGUGACCUGCCCUCAGCUCUGGGAUAAGCCUGGGAAACUGGGUCUAAUACCGGAUAUGACUCCAUGACGCAUGUCGUGGGGUGGAAAGCCUUGUGCGGCUGGGGAUGGGCCCG
rnacentral:rRNA from 1 species